rnacentral:rRNA from 1 species
AUUGAACGCUGGCGGCAGGCCUAACACAUGCAAGUCGAACGGUAACAGGAAGAAGCUUGCUUCUUUGCUGACGAGUGGCGGACGGGUGAGUAAUGUCUGGGAAACUGCCUGAUGGAGGGGGAUAACUACUGGAAACGGUAGCUAAUACCGCAUAACGUCGCAAGACCAAAGAGGGGGACCUUCGGGCCUCUUGCCAUCGGAUGUGCCCAGAUGGGAUUAGCUAGUAGGUGGGGUAACGGCUCACCUAGGCGACGAUCCCUAGCUGGUCUGAGAGGAUGACCAGCCACACUGGAACUGAGACACGGUCCAGACUCCUACGGGAGGCAGCAGUGGGGAAUAUUGCUCAAUGGGCGCAAGCCUGAUGCAGCCAUGCCGCGUGUAUGAAGAAGGCCUGCGGGUUGUAAAGUACUUUCAGCGGGGAGGAAGGGAGUAAAGUUAAUACCUUUGCUCAUGGACGUUACCCGCAGAAGAAGCACCGGCUAACUCCGU